UGGUUUUGCAGUCUUGUCUGAUGC
rnacentral:siRNA from 1 species